CAGUAGCCGCGGUAAUACGAAGGGUGCAAGCGUUAAUCGGAAUUACUGGGCGUAAAGCGUGCGUAGGCGGUGAGUUAAGUCCGCCGUGAAAUCCCCGGGCUCAACCUGGGAAUGGCAGUGGAUACUGGCUCGCUAGAGUGUGUCAGAGGAUGGUGGAAUUCCCGGUGUAGCGGUGAAAUGCGUAGAGGUCGGGAGGAACAUCAGUGGCGAAGGCGGCCAUCUGGGACAACACUGACGCUGAGGCACGAAAGCGUGGGGAGCAAACAGGAUUAGAUACCCCCGUAGUCCCUGUCUCUUAUAC
rnacentral:rRNA from 1 species